GGCUGGUCUGAUGGUAGUUAGCAGAACUUACUAACAUUAGUGUCACUAAAGUUGGUAUUCAACCCCCCACUGCUAAAUUUGACUGGCUUUAA
rnacentral:Y_RNA from 1 species